UUCCAGCCACACAAGAGCUUAGGAAAGCCUACCUUUUACCGUUGUUCUCAGACUGUGAUCACGGUGAAGAAGUGCUCUGGUGGACGUGGCUCAUCUCAGGACCAUCGCCACAGCAAAGAUUUUGAAAUUGGCAAUGAUAAAACUGCAAACCUCGAACUCAGAUGGAGAGUAAGCCUGAGAGAGCAGCCGCAAUCUCCUUUUAUGAAUUAAACAGCUCUUGUAAAAGCCUAAAUUGGCUAAACACAAGUAUAAAUACAUAAAAUUCGAUUUAAAAAUAAAUAAAUAACCUCAGGCCAAUCUCAUGUCCUCGUGAUGGUGGUGAUACAUUCGGAUGACUGCCCUAUCAACUUUCGAGGAAACUUUCUGUGCCUACCAUGGUGACUAUGGGUAAUGGGCAUUUAAGGUGUGAUUUCAGAGACGGAACCUGAAAAAGACUAGCACAUCCAAAGUAGGCAGCAGGCUCGCAAAUUACCAAUCUCGACCCAGGGAGGUAGUGGAGAAAAUGACAAUACAAGACUCUUUUCAGGGCCUGUAUUUGGAAUGAGUACACUUUAAAUCAUUUAAAAAGUAUCCAUUGAAAUGCAAGUCUGGUGAAAGUAGCCAUGGUAAUUCCUGCUCCAAAAGUGAAUAUUAAAGUUAAAGAGCUCCUAGUUGGAAACUUAGAUCGAGCUGGCUGUCCGAUAUGCGAGCUACCGCCUGUCCCAGCCCUGCCUCUCGGCGCCCCUUGAUGCUCUUGACUGAGUGUCCUGGGGGUCCGAAGCGUUUACUUUGAAAAAAUUAGAGUGUUUAAAGCAGGCCGUGUACGGUCCUCUUGAAUACUUCAGCUAGGAGUAAUGGAAUAGGGCUCUGGUUCUAUUUUGUUGUUUACGGAACAUGGGCCAUGAUUAAGAGGGAUGGCGAGGGACAUUUGUAUGUGCCAUUAGAGGUGACAUUCUUGGACCUGCGCAAGACGAUCCAAAGCAAAAGCAUUUGCCAAGAAUGUUUUCCUUAAUCAAAAAUUAAAGUCAGAGAUUUUAAGACGAUCAAAUAUCAUCAUAAUUCCGACCAUAAAAGAUGAUGACUAGCGAAAAAGUUGCAUUAAUCCCAUGACCUGCCGAACAUCUUCUGGGAAACCAAAGUAUUUGGGUUCCGGGCAGAGUAUGGUUGCAAUGCUGAAAUUUAAUGGAAUUGAUGGAACACAGGACACCUCAGCCGUAAAAGACACAGAAAGGAUUGACAGAUUGACAGAUUGAUAACUCUUUCUCGAUUAUGUGAGUGGUGGUGCAUGGCCAUUCUUAGUGGGUGCAAUGAUUUUUCUGAUUAAUUCUGACAUCAAAUGAGACUCCAUACUAACUAGUUACGCAACCCCCACCGGUUGGCGUUCACAUUCAUAGAGGGACAAGUGGCAACAUGAGAUCGAGCAUAGCAGGUCUGUGAUGUCGUUAGAUGUCUGGGGAUACAUGUGCACUACACUGAACAGAUCUGCUUGUGUGUACCCUUCACUGACAUGUGCGGGCAACCCGCUGAACUUGGUUUAUGAUAGGGAUUCGAAAUUGCAAUUAUUUCACAUGAAAGAGGAAUUCCCUGUAUGUGUGGGUAAAAAGCUUACGUUGAUUAAGGCCCUGCCCUUUGUACACAGUGCCCGCUGUUACUACCCAUUGGAAGGUAUUGUGAGGUCAUUGGAUCAGCUCCACCGGCGGUAGCAUGGCCCUGGUGUAGCACAGAGAAAACGAUCAGUCUGGACUAUCUAGAAGAAGAAAACGUCACAACAAGUUUUCCAUAGGUGAAACUGCGGAAU
rnacentral:rRNA from 1 species